rnacentral:rRNA from 1 species
CGCGUGAGCAAUCUGCCUUUGGAUGGGGGAUAACAGCCGGAAACGACUGCUAAUACCGCAUGAUGCAGCGGGGUCGCAUGAUUUUGCUGCCAAAGAUUUAUCGUCCAAAGAUGAGCUCGCGUCUGAUUAGCCAGUUGGCGGGGUAACGGCCCACCAAAGCGACGAUCAGUAGCCGGACUGAGAGGUUGAACGGCCACAUUGGGACUGAGACACGGCCCAGACUCCUACGGGAGGCAGCAG